AUCUAGAACCUGCCAGCACUCCAUGUCACCGUGUUCUCACUGGCAGGGUCUAACUCUGUGUUGGAGUUAGAGUGAGAACAUGAGUGUGAGGCUCUCCCUCCCUGUCCUUGAGCUGUGCUUGGUGACUGAGUACUCUGGGACAAUGGGGAUCUGCAAAGCUGUCUUCUGGUUCUUGCUCUGCCGUAGCUCUCUUGAUACCAAGCAUGAAAGGUAGUAUUGUAAAGAAAUCAGCCUGCAAAUCUUCCAGGUGUGGGAGUCAAGCUGUAGGAACAAGACAAGGCCCAUAGCUGCCCACUGACCUUACUUCCCAGUACCAUGUUGUCCUCACAGAGGGGAACAACGUGCCCUUCUGAUUCUGGGACAGCAGUUAAGACAGGAAGUACAUGGUCUGGACUUGUGCAGUGAGCAAGAGCUGCCCAGAACUCAGGGUGGGGGCACUCAGACACUGGGUAGAGCCAUGUGGGCCAGCAGUUUACCAGCAGUGUGGCUUCCCAGGACAGUUUGUGCUAUGGCAGGGGAAGUUAAUAUGUAGAAUAUAGAAACAGGCCACCUGCUUCCCUCUCACUGUGGUGGCAGUGACUGUCAGUAUUGGUGACUCCCUGGGACACUAAUGAGAAGCUUUCUUUGAAGACAUUGACAAUUACUUGAUCUCUGCCAUCCUUGUGUGGUGACUCGGGGAAGGGCACGGGGGUCUCAGAAUGCAUGGCCCUUAGACUUAAAACUGAAGCCAGUGUGUUCCCAAAGCACUGUCCUAGCGUGAGCACACCAUGGCUGAGUACAGGGCACUGGGUGAGCAUCCUCAGAUCUCAGACGCUGGCGACAAUGGCUAGGCCUGAUCCUUAGGAAGGAUCUACUGUGCGGUGUGUACUGUGCUGGCUCCUCAGCUCGGCAUAGGCCAAUGCCUCCGUACUCUCCUGCAGUACAUACGGCAUGUAAGAGUUCCCACCACAGGAGUCAGGGACACAAACACUGCAGAGACAAUGGCCAAGAAGAACCCCUAGGACAGUGGUUUUCAACCCAUGUGACCCCCUGGGGGCUGAUAUAUCAGAUAUUCUGCAUAUCAGAUAUUUAUAUUAUAACUCAUAACAGCAGCAAGAUUAAAGCUAGGAAGUAGCAACAAAAGUAAAUUUGUGGCUGGGAGUCACCUCAAUAUGAGGAACUGUAUUAAAAGGUCAUAGCAUUGGAAGGUUGAAAACCACUGCCCUGGGCCUAUUGCCCCAUACAGAAGUGACAAGGAACAUUUAGCAAAUAAGCAAACGUUGUUUUCCUGCCGUGCUGACGAGCCUGUCGUCGUCUCAGCGCUGUUUGGUUGCAGCCUGCAGUGACAGAGGGGAAGCAGGGCGUGCUUUAUCUUAUUUGAAAGGCGCUUUAACCCUCAUGCCAUGUUGCUGUAAUGGUGCAUCAGGACCUUCUGCUGCUGGCCUGCAUACGGGAGAAGUCAAAGUUGUAAGGCUGUGGCUGCCUCUCAAGGAGUAAAGAGUGUCAGAGGUGUGUAAGGAACAAAAACAGCUUCAGAGAGGAAACGUGUCGGUGGUGUAGCAGGUAUUGCCUCACGGUGCCACAGAAUGCCUAAUGAGGGGCACAGUCAGAAAGCAGAGACUGCUGGAGCUCACCUCACUUUCCCCUUUGCCUUAGUCCAGGGUCCCAGGCUUGAAAUCCCUACAUCUAAGGCGGGUCUUCCCACCUCAGCUAACCUAGUCCAGAUAAUCCAUUCUAGUCAUGCCACAGCUUUGUUUCCAUGGAGAUCUUGAAUUCCAUCAGGUUGACAGGAUUAGCCAUCACUGACAGCAGUGAGCACCUAAUGGUUAGGACUGAGUGUACAGAGCUCAUGGCCAGAUUGCAUACAGGUCGAUAGGACCCAUGGAAGCCCUCUUCCUGUGCAGGACUCCACAGCUCAGUAUCUGCUGUGUGAUCCACAAAACAAUGUUAGUGACAGCCUGUCCUGUACAUUGAAUUUAGUUUUGAAUAGGAAUGUUUUUCUUCUCUGAGUUGGCAAAUUUCAAACACUGAUUCUGUCCAGAACUUGCCUCCUAAAGGAGAGAAGAAUGCAAACAUCUAAAGAUGCUGUUAUAGUAGGGAAUUGCCACGAUGCCAGACAACGCUGUCAGACUGUGUCUAUCCCCAAGACCGGUGGCCUUUCUGAGGAGGGCAUUCCACUAAAUGUGUGCGUGUUGCUCGUCCAAAGGUGUGUCAUGUAACACUGUUUAUAAUACUCAAGAAUUGCAAACC
rnacentral:lncRNA from 1 species